rnacentral:rRNA from 1 species
GAUGAACGCUGGCGGCGUGCCUAAUACAUGCAAGUCGAGCGAACAGACGAGGAGCUUGCUCCUCUGACGUUAGCGGCUGACGGGUGAGUAACACGUGGAUAACCUACCUAUAUUACUGGGAUAACUUCGGGAAACCGGAUCUAAUACCGGAUAAUAUAUUGAACCGCAUGGUUCAAUAGUGAAAGACGGUUUUGCUGUCACUUAUAGAUGGAUCCGCGCCGCAUUAGCUAGUUGGUAAGGUAACGGCUUACCAAGGCAACGAUGCGUAGCCGACCUGAGAGGGUGAUCGGCCACACUGGAACUGAGACACGGUCCAGACGCCUACGGGAGGCAGCAGUAGGGAAUAUUCCGCAAUGGGCGAAAGCCUGACGGAGCAACGCCGCGUGAGUGAAGAAGGUCUUCGGAUCGUAAAACUCUGUUAUUAGGGAAGAAAAAAUGUGUAAGUAAAUAUGCACGUCUUGACGGUACCUAAUCAGAAAGCAACGGCUAACUACGUG